rfam:Ostreococcus tauri, RCC4221, WGS project CAID01000000 data, contig: 02, chromosome: 2
GCUGGGAUGCCCGAGUGGUCCAAGGGGCCAGACUCAAGUACGACGCGUUCGAGCUUCACCGGAACUUAGGUGAGUGUUCUGGUAGUCACUGACUGCGUGGGUUCGAACCCCACUCUCAGCA